rnacentral:rRNA from 1 species
GACGAACGCUGGCGGCGUGCUUAACACAUGCAAGUCGAACGAUGAAGCCUUCGGGUGGAUUAGUGGCGAACGGGUGAGUAACACGUGGGUAAUCUGCCCUGCACUCUGGGAUAAGCCUUGGAAACGGGGUCUAAUACCGGAUAUCACACUUCUAGGCAUCUAGUGGUGUUGAAAGUUUUGGCGGUGCAGGAUGAACCCGCGGCCUAUCAGCUUGUUGGUGGGGUAAUGGCCACCAAGGCGACGACGGGUAGCCGGCCUGAGAGGGUGACCGGCCACACUGGGGCUGAGACACGGCCCAGACUCCUACGGGAGGCAGCAGUGGGGAAUAUUGCACAAUGGGCGAAAGCCUGAUGCAGCGACG